rnacentral:rRNA from 1 species
GACGAACGCUGGCGGCGUGCUUAACACAUGCAAGUCGAACGAAGUGGCGAACGGGUGAGUAACGCGUAAUCAACCUGCCCUUCAGAGGGGGACACCAGUUGGACACGACUGCUUAUACCGCAUACUGACUGCGGGGUUUGGGUUUGAUUGGCUAGUUUGAGGGGUAACGGCCGACAAAGGCGAUGCUCAGUAGCCGGGCGGAGAGGAUGAACGGUCACAGUGGGACUGAGAAACGGCCAAGCACCCUACGGGAGGCAGCAGUGGGGAAUAUUCCGGAAUGGACGAAAGUCUGACGGAGCAACGCCGCGUGAGUGAUGACGGCCUUCGGGUUGUAAAGCUCUGUUAAUCGGGACGCGGUACCGGAAGAGAAAGCCACGGCUAACUACGUGCCAGCCGCCGCGGUAAUAC